rnacentral:rRNA from 1 species
CUGCUGCCUUCCGUAGGAGUCUGGGCCGUAUCUCAGUCCCAAUGUGGCCGUUCAUCCUCUCAGACCGGCUACUGAUCGUCGACUUGGUGGGCCGUUACCCCGCCAACUAUCUAAUCAGACGCAAGCCCAUCUUUCAGCAAUAAAUCUUUGGUACCCCAGGGAUGCCCCCAAGGCACGUUAUGCGGUAUUAGCAGAAGUUUCCCUCUGUUGUCCCCCACUGGAAGGCAGGUUACUCACGCGUUACUCACCCGUUCGCCA